rnacentral:rRNA from 1 species
UCGAACGAGAAAGUGGAGCAUCCAUGAGUACAGUGGCGUACGGGUGAGUAACACGUGGGUAAUCUACCCUUUAGUGAGGAAUAACGAUGGGAAACCGUCGCUAAUACCGCAUAAGCCCGAGAGGGGAAAGCAGCAAUGCGCUGAAAGAGGAGCCCGCGGCCGAUUAGCUAGUUGGUAGGGUAAGAGCCUACCAAGGCAGAGAUCGGUAGCCGGCCUGAGAGGGCACACGGCCACACUGGCACUGAAACACGGGCCAGACUCCUACGGGAGGCAGCAGUGGGGAAUCUUGCACAAUGGGGGCAACUCUGAUGCAGCGACGCCGCGUGAGCGAUGAAGCCCUUCGGGGUGUAAAGCUCUUUCGACGGGAACGAUAAUGACGGUACCCGAAGAAGAAGCUGCGGCUAACUACGUGCCAGCAGCCGCGGUAAUACGUAGGCAGCAAGCGUUGUUCGGAAUUACUGGGCGUAAAGAGUGUGUAGGCGGUGUUCUAAGUUUGUCGUGAAAUCUCCCGGCUUAACUGGGAGGGUGCGGCGAAAACUGGAAUGCUAGAGGAUGGGAGAGGUAAGCGGAAUUCCUGGUGUAGCGGUGAAAUGCGUAGAUAUCAGGAGGAACACCUGUGGUGUAGACAGCUUACUGGACCAUUUCUGACGCUGAGACGCGAAAGCGUGGGUAGCAAACAGGAUUAGAUACCCUGGUAGUCCACGCCCUAAACGAUGCAUACUUGGUGUGAGCGAUUCAUUUCGUUCGUGCCGGGAGCUACGCGUUAAGUAUG